rnacentral:rRNA from 1 species
GAAUUGCCAUUGAUACUGCAUUUCUUGAGUGUGGUUGAGGUAGGCGGAAUGUGCAGUGUAGCGGUGAAAUGCAUAGAGAUUGCACAGAACACCGAUUGCGGAGGCAGCUUACUAAGCCAUAACUGACGCUGAGGCACGAAAGCGUGGGGAGCGAACAGGAUUAGAUACCCUGGUAGUCCACGCCGUAAACGAUGUUCACUCGCUGUUUGCAAUACACAGUAAGCGGCUUAGCGAAAGCAUUAAGUGAACCACCUGGGGAGUACGAUCGCAAGGUUGAAACUCAAAGGAAUUGACGGGGGCCCGCACAAGCGGAGGAACAUGUGGUUUAAUUCGAUGAUACGCGAGGAACCUUACCUGGGCUUAAAUGUAGAGUGCAUUCGGGCGAAAGCC